rnacentral:rRNA from 1 species
UGAGCAAUCUGCCCUUCUCUUCGGAAUAAGCGUUGGAAACGACGUCUAAUGCCGAAUACGACCUCCUUUCGCAUGAUCGGAGGUGGAAAGCUCCGGCGGAGAAGGAUGAGCUCGCGGCCUAUCAGCUAGUUGGUGUGGGUAAUGGCCCACCAAGGCGACGACGGGUAGCCGGCCUGAGAGGGUGACCGGCCACACUGGGACUGAGACACGGCCCAGACUCCUACGGGAGCAGCG